rnacentral:rRNA from 1 species
GGGUUGUGAGGUUAAGCGACUAAGCGUACACGGUGGAUGCCCUGGCAGUCAGAGGCGAUGAAGGACGUGCUAAUCUGCGAUAAGCGUCGGUAAGGUGAUAUGAACCGUUAUAACCGGCGAUUUCCGAAUGGGGAAACCCAGUGUGAUUCGUCACACUAUCAUUAACUGAAUCCAUAGGUUAAUGAGGCGAACCGGGGGAACUGAAACAUCUAAGUACCCCGAGGAAAAGAAAUCAACCGAGAUUCCCCCAGUAGCGGCGAGCGAACGGGGAGCAGCCCAGAGCCUGAAUCAGUGUGUGUGUUAGUGGAAGCGUCUGGAAAGGCGUGCGAUACAGGGUGACAGCCCCGUACACAAAAAUGCACAUAUUGUGAGCUCGAUGAGUAGGGCGGGACACGUGGUAUCCUGUCUGAAUAUGGGGGGACCAUCCUCCAAGGCUAAAUACUCCUGACUGACCGAUAGUGAACCAGUACCGUGAGGGAAAGG